UACGUAGGGUGCGAGCGUUGUCCGGAAUUAUUGGGCGUAAAGGGCUCGUAGGCGGUUUGUCGCGUCGGGAGUGAAAACCCAGGGCUUAACUCUGGGCUUGCUUUCGAUACGGGCAGACUAGAGGCAUGCAGGGGAGAACGGAAUUCCUGGUGUAGCGGUGAAAUGCGCAGAUAUCAGGAGGAACACCGGUGGCGAAGGCGGUUCUCUGAGCCUUACCUGACGCUGAGGAGCGAAAGCGUGGGGAGCGAACAGG
rnacentral:rRNA from 1 species